rnacentral:rRNA from 1 species
GGCUCAGGAUGAACGCUGGCGGUGUGCCUAAGGUAUGCAAGUCGAACGGUCCAGAUGCUUGCAUUUGGACAGUGGCAGACGGGUGAGUAACGCGUGGAUAAUCUGCCCCGAAGAUGGGGAUAGCUUGCCGAAAGGUAAGGUAAUACCCAAUGGUGUGUGAAGUACGUAUGUACAUCACACUAAAGUUUUAGCGCUUCGGGAUGAGUCCGCGUCCUAUCAGCUUGUUGGCGGGGUAAAAGCCCACCAAGGCUAAGACGGGUAGCUGGUCUGAGAGGAUGGUCAGCCACAGUGGCACUGAUACACGGGCCACACCCCUACGGGAGGCAGCAAUUAGGAAUCUUGCACAAUGGAGGAAACUCUGAUGCAGCGACACCGCGUGAAGGAUGAAGACCCUCGGGUUGUAAACUUCUUUUAUAGUUUGACAAGUUCUGAGUGAAUUAUGAAUAAGCGCCUGCUAACUGCGUGCCAGAAGCAUCGGUGAAGCGUGGGGCGCGAGCGUUAUCCGGAUUUAUUGGGCAUAAAGUGAUGCGUAGGCGUCUUGGUAAGUCUUCUGUCAAAGCCCUCGGCCUAACCGAGGAAAGGCAGAGGAUACUAUCAGGAUUGAGACAGAGAGGGGGAAGUGGAAUUUCCGGUGGAGCGGUGAAAUGCGUUGAUAUCGGAAGGAACACCAGUGGCGAAGGCAACUUCCUGGCUCUGUUCUGACGCUGAGGCUCGAAAGCGUGGGUAGCAAAGCGGAUUAGAUACCCGUGUAGUCCAUGCUGUAAACAAUGGAUACUGGGCGUUCGGUUU